AGUGAACGCUGGCGGCGUGCCUAAUACAUGCAAGUCGAACGGACAAGUAAGAGCUUGCUCUUAUGAGUUAGUGGCGCACGGGUGAGUAAUGUAUAGCUAAUCUGCCCUAUACUAGAGGACAACAGUUGGAAACGGCUGCUAAUACUCUAUACUCCUGUCUUACAUAAGUUAGAUAGGGAAAGUUUUUCGGUGUAGGAUGAGGCUAUAUUGUAUCAGCUAGUUGGUGAGGUAAUGGCUCACCAAGGCUAUGACGCAUAACUGGUCUGAGAGGAUGAUCAGUCACACUGGAACUGAGACACGGUCCAGACUCCUACGGGAGGCAGCAGUAGGGAAUAUUGCUCAAUGGGGGAAACCCUGAAGCAGCAACGCCGCGUGGAGGAUGACACUUUUCGGAGCGUAAACUCCUUUUGUUAGGGAAGAAUAAUGACGGACCUAACGAAUAAGCACCGCA
rnacentral:rRNA from 1 species